UAGGGAAUCUUCGGCAAUGGACGAAAGUCUGACCGAGCAACGCCGCGUGAGUGAAGAAGGUUUUCGGAUCGUAAAACUCUGUUGUUAGAGAAGAACAAGGACGUUAGUAACUGAACGUCCCCUGACUGUAUCUAACCAGAAAGCAACGGCUAACUACGUGCCAGCAGCCGCGGUAAUACGUAGGUGGCAAGCGUUGUCCGGAUGUAUUGGGCGUAAAGCGAGCGCAGGCGGUUUCUUAAGUAUGAUGUGAAAGCCCCCGGCUCAACCGGGGAGGGUCAUUGGAAGCUGGGAGACUUGAGUGCAGAAGAGGAGAGUGGAAUUCCAUGUGUAGCGGUGAAAUGCGUAGAUAUAUGGAGGAACACCAGUGGCGAAGGCGGCUCUCUGGUCUGUAACUGACGCUGAGGCUCGAAAGCGUGGGGAGCAAACAGG
rnacentral:rRNA from 1 species